rnacentral:rRNA from 1 species
AACGAACGCUGGCGGCAUGCCUAACACAUGCAAGUCGAACGAGACCUUCGGGUCUAGUGGCGCACGGGUGCGUAACGCGUGGGAACCUGCCCUUAGGUUCGGAAUAACUCCCCGAAAGGGGUGCUAAUACCGGAUAAUGUCUUCGGACCAAAGAUUUAUCGCCUUUGGAUGGGCCCGCGUUGGAUUAGCUAGUUGGUAGGGUAAAAGCCUACCACGGCGACGAUCCAUAGCUGGUCUGAGAGGAUGAUCAGCCACACUGGGACUGAGACACGGCCCAGACUCCUACGGGAGGCAGCAGUGGGGAAUAUUGGACAAUGGGCGAAAGCCUGAUCCAGCAAUGCCGCGUAAGUGAUGAAGGCCUUAGGGUUGUAAAGCUCUUUUACCCGGGAUGAUAAUGACAGUACCGGGAGAAUAAGCUCCGGCUAACUCCGUG